AUUGAACGCUGGCGGCAUGCCUUACACAUGCAAGUCGAACGGCAGCACGGGAGCAAUCCUGGUGGCGAGUGGCGAACGGGUGAGUAAUAUAUCGGAGCGUGCCCAGUAGUGGGGGAUGACUGCUCGAAAGAGCAGCUAAUACCGCAUACGACCUGAGGGUGAAAGGGGGGGAUCGCAAGACCUCUCGCUAUUGGAGCGGCCGAUAUCAGAUUAGCUAGUUGGUGGGGUAAAGGCCUACCAAGGCAACGAUCUGUAGUUGGUCUGGGAGGACGACCAGCCACACUGGGACUGAGACACGGCCCAGACUCCUACGGGAGGCAGCAGUGGGGAAUUUUGGACAAUGGGCGCAAGCCUGAUCCAGCAAUGCCGCGUGCAGGAAGAAGGCCUUCGGGUUGUAAACUGCUUUUGUCAGGGAAGAAAUCCUCUAGGUUAAUACCCUUGGGGGGAUGACGGUACCUGAAGAAUAAGCACCGGCUAACUACGUGCCAGCCGCCGCCGUAAGAC
rnacentral:rRNA from 1 species